rnacentral:lncRNA from 1 species
GUGGGGAAAGCUAUAGUGUUUUAAAGAAAAAAAUACUAUUUAAAAAAAAAGUCAAUUUUGGGUAAAAGAAAUGAAAAAAAAACAUGUAAAAAAAAGGAAACAAAAGCGAAAAAAAAACACGUGGGGAAAGCUAUAGUGUUUUAAAGAAAAAAAUAAAAAAACUAAAUUUUCAACCAGCUCAAUAGUAAAAAAAUAAAAUCAACAAAAAUAAUUCUGAAAAAAAAGGAAAUAUGUAAAAAAUGAC